UACGUAGGGUGCGAGCGUUGUCCGGAAUUACUGGGCGUAAAGAGCUCGUAGGUGGUUUGUCGCGUUGUUCGUGAAAACUCACAACUCAAUUGUGGGCGUGCGGGCGAUACGGGGCAGACUGGAGUACUGCAGGGGGAGACUGGAAUUCCUGGUGUAGCGGUGGAAUGCGCAGAUAUCAGGAGGAACACCGGUGGCGAAGGCGGGUCUCGUGGGCAGUGAACUGACGCUGGAGGAGCGAAAGCGUGGGGAGCGAACAGG
rnacentral:rRNA from 1 species